GGCAGUAGAGUCCACAGUGAGAGGUCAGCAGGGGCAGUAGAGUCCACAGAGAGGUCAACAGGGGCAGUAGAGUCCACAGAGAGAGUUCAGCAGGGGAAGUAGAGUCCACAGAGAGAGGUCAGCAGGGGCAGUAGAGUCCACUGAGAGGUCAACAGGGGCUGUAGAGUCCACAGAGAGAGUUCAGCAGGGGAAAUAGAAUCCACAGUGAGAGGUCAGCAGGGCAGUAGAGUCCACAGAGAGAGGUCAGCAGGGGCAGUAGAGUCAACAGAGAGAGGUCAGCAGGGGCAGUAUAGUCCACAGUGAGAGGUCAGCAGGGGCAGCAGAGUCCACAGAGAGAGGUCAGCAGGGGCAGUAGAGUCCACAGAGAAAGGUCAGCAGGGGUAGUAGAGUCCACAGAGAGAGAUCAGCAGGGGCAGUAGAGUCCACAGAGAGAGGUCAGCAGGGGCAGUAGAGUCCACAGCGAGAGGUCAGCAGGGGCAGUAGAGUCAACAGAGAGAGGUCAGCAGGGGCAGUAGAGUCCACAGAGAGGUCAGCAGGGGCAGUAGAGUCCACAGAGAGAGGUCAGCAGGGGCAGUAUAGUCCACAGUGAGAGGUCAGCAGGGGCAGUAGAGUCCACUGAGAG
ensembl:lncRNA